UGUAACAUGUUCAGUGUUCAGUGACCU
rnacentral:piRNA from 1 species